GAUGAACGCUGGCGGCGUGCCUAAUACAUGCAAGUCGAGCGAACAGACGAGGAGCUUGCUCCUCUGACGUUAGCGGCGGACGGGUGAGUAACACGUGGAUAACCUACCUAUAAGACUGGGAUAACUUCGGGAAACCGGAGCUAAUACCGGAUAAUAUAUUGAACCGCAUGGUUCAAUAGAGAAAGACGGUUUUGCUGUCACUUAUAGAUGGAUCCGCGCCGCAUUAGCUAGUUGGUACGGUAACGGCUUACCAAGGCAACGAUGCGUAGCCGACCUGAGAGGGUGAUCAGCCACACUGGAACUGAGACACGGUCCAGACUCCUACGGGAGGCAGCAGUAGGGAAUCUUCCGCAAUGGGCGAAAGCCUGACGGAGCAACGCCGCGUGAGUGAUGAAGGUCUUCGGAUCGUAAAACUCUGUUAUUAGGGAAGAACAAAUGUGUAAGUAACUAUGCACGUCUUGACGGUACCUAAUCAGAAAGCCACGGCUAACUACGUG
rnacentral:rRNA from 1 species